rnacentral:rRNA from 1 species
UUAGCAUAUCAAUAAGCGGAGGAAAAGAAACCAACAGGGAUUGCUCUAGUAACGGCGAGUGAACAAGCAAAAGCUCAGUUUUGAAAGCCUACUUUGUAGGCAUUGUAUUCUGAAGCCUAGAUUCUGGGAAACGGUGUUUAAGUCUUCUGGAAAGGAGCGCCACGGAGGGUGAUAGCCCCGUACGGCACUGACCCCAUUGUAGUUUCUAGGCGUGGAGUCGAGUUGUUUGGGAAUGCAGCUCAAAUGGGAGGUAUGCUCCUUCUAAAGCUAAAUAUUUGCGAGAGACCGAUAGCGAACAAGUACUGUGAAGGAAAGAUGAAAAGAACUUUGAAAAGAGAGUGAAAUAGGACGUGAAAUUGUUGAAAUGGAAGGGUAGGCUGCUAACCAUGUAGGACCGUGUCUGAGGGGAAGAUAAAAGCUACGGAAUGUGACUCUUCGGAGUGUUAUAGCCGUGGUCAAUGUUCCCACUUAGGCGCGAGGAUCUCAGGUUCUACUAAAUGGUGGUCUACCACCCGUCUUGAAACACGGACCAAGGAGUCUAUUGCCUGCGCGAGUAUUUGGGUGUCAAACCCAUAUGCGAAGUGAAAGCGAGUGGUUCUAACUUUUUGUUCAGAAUCGGCCGACCGUUCAUAGGAACGGAUUGAGUUGAGCGCAAGUGAUGGGACCCGAAAGAUGGUGAACUAUGCCUGAAUAGGGUGAAGCCAGAGGAAACUCUGGUGGAGGCUCGCAGCGGUUCUGACGUGCAAAUCGAUCGUCAAAUUUGGGUAUAGGGGCGAAAGACUAAUCGAACCAUCUAGUAGCUGGUUCCUGCCGAGU